rnacentral:rRNA from 1 species
GAUGAACGCCGGCGGCGUGCCUGAUACAUGCAAGUCGAGCGAAUGGAUUAAGAGCUUGCUCUUAUGAAGUUAGCGGCGGACGGGUGAGUAACACGUGGGUAACCUGCCCAUAAGACUGGGAUAACUCCGGGAAACCGGGGCUAAUACCGGAUAACAUUUUGAACCGCAUGGUUCGAAAUUGAAAGGCGGCUUCGGCUGUCACUUAUGGAUGGACCCGCGUCGCAUUAGCUAGUUGGUGAGGUAACGGCUCACCAAGGCAACGAUGCGUAGCCGACCUGAGAGGGUGAUCGGCCACACUGGGACUGAGACACGGCCCAGACUUCUACGGGAGGCAGCAGUAGGGAAUCUUCCGCAAUGGACGAAAGUCUGACGGAGCAACGCCGCGUGAGUGAUGAAGGCUUUCGGGUCGUAAAACUCUGUUGUUAGGGAAGAACAAGUGCUAGUUGAAUAAGCUGGCACCUUGACGGUACCUAACCAGAAAGCCACGGCUAACUACGUGCCAGCAGCCGCUGUAA